GCUAAACGCGAAGAACCUUACCAAGGCUUGACAUACACGAGAACGCCGUAGAAAUACGGAACUCUUUGGACACUCGUGAACAGGUGGUGCAUGGUUGUCGUCAGCUCGUGUCGUGAGAUGUUGGGUUAAGUCCCGCAACGAGCGCAACCCUCGUUCUAUGUUGCCAGUACGUUAUGGUGGGAACUCAUGGGAUACUGCCGGGGUCAACUCGGAGGAAGGUGGGGAUGACGUCAAAUCAUCAUGCCCCUUAUGUCUUGGGCUUCACGCAUGCUACAAUGGCCGGUACAAAGGGCUGCAAUACCGUGAGGUGGAGCGAAUCCCAAAAAGCCGGUCCCAGUUCGGAUUGAGGUCUGCAACUCGACCUCAUGAAGUCGGAAUCGCUAGUAAUCGCGCAUCAGCUACGGCGCGGUGAAUACGUUCCCGGGUCUUGUACACACCG
rnacentral:rRNA from 1 species